GAUGAACGCUGGCGGCGUGCCUAAUACAUGCAAGUCGAGCGAACGGACGAGAAGCUUGCUCCUCUGAUGUUAGCGGCGGACGGGUGAGUAACACGUGGAUAACCUACCUAUAAGACUGGGAUAACUUCGGGAAACCGUAGCUAAUACCGGAUAAUAUUUUGAACCGCAUGGUUCAAAAGUGAAAGACGGUCUUGCUGUCACUUAUAGAUGGAUCCGCGCUGCAUUAGCUAGUUGGUAAGGUAACGGCUUACCAAGGCAACGAUGCGUAGCCGACCUGAGAGGGUGAUCGGCCACACUGGAACUGAGACACGGUCCAGACUCCUACGGGAGGCAGCAGUAGGGAAUCUUCCGCAAUGGGCGAAAGCCUGACGGAGCAACGCCGCGUGAGUGAUGAAGGUCUUCGGAUCGUAAAACUCUGUUAUUAGGGAAGAACAUAUGUGUAAGUAACUGUGCACAUCUUGACGGUACCUAAUCAGAAAGCCACGGCUAACUACGUG
rnacentral:rRNA from 1 species